GUUAUGGGGAGAUGUGCGGAAGCGCUUACGAAAGAGUUUAACUACCCUUGGAUGCUCCUGCUGAAAUGGAGAAGAUUGAGGAACAAUUUGCUAAUAUGCACCUAUACAGAUGUUCCUCAGGAACUGAAGAGCCCACGUACCUUCUCGGCAUAGACACAUCGAAGACUGUACAAACAGAAAGAGAAAGCUUGGUGGCUGUUCUGUGUUCUAAUGGAUCAAUCCGAAUAUAUGAUAAAGAAAGGUUAAACAUACUACAAGAAUUUAGUGGGUGUCCUGGACAUCUCAGUGGAGUCAGAUAUGCAAAUUCCCGUGACACUGUGUAUUCAGCGUGUACGGACGGCACUGUGAAGUGUUGGGAUGUUCGGUUAGCCGGUGAAAAACCUGUACAGCUGUUCAAGGGUUACCCUUCCAAUGUUUUUAUCAGCUUUGAUAUCAACUGUAAUGACCAUGUCAUUUGUGCCGGUACUGAAAAAGUUGAUGAUGAUGCAUUGUUGGUAUUUUGGGAUGCAAGAAUGAAUUCUCAGGAUCUGUCUACUACCCAAGACCCACUCGGUACAUACUCAGAGACACAUAGUGAUGACAUCACUCAAGUACGUUUCCAUCCCAGCAACCCCAACAUGGUGGUCUCAGGUUCAACUGAUGGCCUGGUAAAUGUGUUUGAUAUCAGUCUUGAUAAUGAAGAGGAUGCACUGGUUACAACCUGUAACUCAGUUUCAUCAGUAAGCUGCAUUGGUUGGUCUGGUAAAGAUUAUAAACAGAUUUACUGCAUGACCCACGACGAAGGAUUUUGGUGGUGGGAUCUGAAUCAUCUAGAUACUGACGAGCCAAUUGUAUGUUUGAACAUCCAGGAUGUCAGAGGAACAGUUAACGUGAAAGAAGGCAUUUUGGACUAUUUGAUUGGUGGUCUAUAUCAUGAAAAGAUGGAUCAAUUGUUUGUUAUUGGAGGAACAAACAAAGGAAAGGUUCACUUAAUGAACUGCACCACCUCAGGGUUGAUGCAUGUGGCCAGCCUUCAGGGAGGGCACUCUGCCACAGUUCGUUCUUUCUGUUGGAAUAUGCAGGAUGAUUCUCUGCUGACUGGGGGAGAAGAUGCACAGUUGUUGCUUUGGAAACCUGGAGCUAUAGAGAAGACCUUCACAAAGAAAGACAGCAUGAAAAGUGCAUCCUCUGUGCACCAGCGACUACGAGUUCACAGUAGCGACUCUCACAAGAGAAGGAGAAAACAGUGAUGUCACAUUAGGACUUGGACCCUGCCUCCUUGGCCGUGACUGAUGGGGACUGAGUUAGAGUGCUGGACCUCCACGUCAAUCUGGCCACGCAAGGCCAGUGCCGUGGCUCACACCUGUAAUCCCAGUACUCCAGGAGGCUGAGUAAAGGCUGCUUGCUUUUGGCUUACACGGGGCAUCCUGAAAUUUCUUCCUGGAAGAUCACCAAGAACCUGAAAAUACCUCCACUCAGAAGACAGUGCUGGGAGGUGAGGCCAAAGAGGU